UGGGGAAUAUUGCACAAUGGGCGCAAGCCUGAUGCAGCCAUGCCGCGUGUGUGAAGAAGGCCUUCGGGUUGUAAAGCACUUUCAGCGAGGAGGAAGGUGGUGAACUUAAUACGUUCAUCAAUUGACGUUACUCGCAGAAGAAGCACCGGCUAACUCCGUGCCAGCAGCCGCGGUAAUACGGAGGGUGCAAGCGUUAAUCGGAAUUACUGGGCGUAAAGCGCACGCAGGCGGUUUGUUAAGUCAGAUGUGAAAUCCCCGGGCUCAACCUGGGAACUGCAUUUGAAACUGGCAAGCUAGAGUCUCGUAGAGGGGGGUAGAAUUCCAGGUGUAGCGGUGAAAUGCGUAGAGAUCUGGAGGAAUACCGGUGGCGAAGGCGGCCCCCUGGACGAAGACUGACGCUCAGGUGCGAAAAGCGUGGGGAGCAAAACAGGAUUAGAUACCCUGGUAGGUCCACGCUGUAAAACGAUGUCGAUUUUGGAGGUUGUGCCCUUGAGGCGUGGCUUCCGGAGCUAACGCGUUAAAUCGACCGCCUGGGGAGUACGGCCNCAAGGUUAAAACUU
rnacentral:rRNA from 1 species